GAAGUCGUAAGGAGGUUUUUGAUAGGUUUAGAUUCUAGUUAAGUUUUAUAAUAUAUGAACCAUCAGUCACCAUAUCCCAUACCGAUUUAACUUUAUGGCAAUUCCAAACCUUAGCGCACAUAACUGAUAUGUAACUUUUUCUUGAGGAGCAUGUAAAACCAUUGUUGUAGGGUUUGAAAAACGGUUAGAAGGUUUUUUUUGGGGAAAAAGGUGAAAUGGUUUCCUUUGACAAGAAAAUGAAGGAUUUCAAUUUCAACUAUUGCUUGUGUAUGCAGGUUAUGGACAUGGUUCUACUUUGGUAUUGGCUUGGCUUCAAAGAAGUUUUAAAGGCUUGGUGAUAUGCUAUAAAACUUGAUUUGGAGUUGGCUAGGAAUUUGGAAUGCUUUUGAAGCUUGAGUUGGAGAUGGACUUAAUGGCUCAUGUUGUAUCGUUGUAAAUUGGAAUGCUUUGAAACAAAUGGAAUUUGUAAUGUAACUUUGGUAAUUGUAUGUAUGUAUUAUGGUUGAAUUUGAAAUGAUAUAUGUAUGUAUUGUGAAGUGUAAUUUUGAAGUUGGAUGGAUUGGAAUGACUUUGACUUGUAAAUAAAUGUGAAUUCCAAUUGUAUGACAUUGUUGCAUUAUGAUGAGAUUCGAAUUGUAAUGGUUAAAUUUUGAAUGUAUAAGAAGUGGUUUUGGAAUUUGGGCUUAUGAAUGGUUUGACUUGAUAUGAACAUG
rnacentral:lncRNA from 1 species